ACCGAGGCGCUGCUAAUACAUGCAAGUCGAACGAGUUCUGAUUAUUGAAAGGUGCUUGCAUCUUGAUUUAAUUUUGAACGAGUGGCGGACGGGUGAGUAACACGUGGGUAACCUGCCCUUAAGUGGGGGAUAACAUUUGGAAACAGAUGCUAAUACCGCAUAAAUCCAAGAACCGCAUGGUUCUUGGCUGAAAGAUGGCGUAAGCUAUCGCUUUUGGAUGGACCCGCGGCGUAUUAGCUAGUUGGUGAGGUAACGGCUCACCAAGGCAAUGAUACGUAGCCGAACUGAGAGGUUGAUCGGCCACAUUGGGACUGAGACACGGCCCAAACUCCUACGGGAGGCAGCAGUAGGGAAUCUUCCACAAUGGACGCAAGUCUGAUGGAGCAACGCCGCGUGAGUGAAGAAGGCUUUCGGGUCGUAAAACUCUGUUGUUGGAGAAGAAUGGUCGGCAGAGUAACUGUUGUCGGCGUGACGGUAUCCAACCAGAAAGCCACGGCUAACUACGUGCCAGCAGCCGCGGUAAUACGUAGGUGGCAAGCGUUAUCCGGAUUUAUUGGGCGUAAAGCGAGCGCAGGCGGUUUUUUAAGUCUGAUGUGAAAGCCCUCGGCUUAACCGAGGAAGUGCAUCGGAAACUGGGAAACUUGAGUGCAGAAGAGGACAGUGGAACUCCAUGUGUAGCGGUGAAAUGCGUAGAUAUAUGGAAGAACACCAGUGGCGAAGGCGGCUGUCUGGUCUGUAACUGACGCUGAGGCUCGAAAGCAUGGGUAGCGAACAGGAUUAGAUACCCUGGUAGUCCAUGCCGUAAACGAUGAAUGCUAGGUGUUGGAGGGUUUCCGCCCUUCAGUGCCGCAGCUAACGCAUUAAGCAUUCCGCCUGGGGAGUACGACCGCAAGGUUGAAACUCAAAGGAAUUGACGGGGGCCCGCACAAGCGGUGGAGCAUGUGGUUUAAUUCGAAGCAACGCGAAGAACCUUACCAGGUCUUGACAUCUUUUGAUCACCUGAGAGAUCAGGUUUCCCCUUCGGGGGCAAAAUGACAGGUGGUGCAUGGUUGUCGUCAGCUCGUGUCGUGAGAUGUUGGGUUAAGUCCCGCAACGAGCGCAACCCUUAUGACUAGUUGCCAGCAUUUUAGUUGGGCACUCUAGUAAGACUGCCGGUGACAAACCGGAGGAAGGUGGGGAUGACGUCAAAUCAUCAUGCCCCUUAUGACCUGGGCUACACACGUGCUACAAUGGAUGGUACAACGAGUUGCGAGACCGCGAGGUCAAGCUAAUCUCUUAAAGCCAUUCUCAGUUCGGACUGUAGGCUGCAACUCGCCUACACGAAGUCGGAAUCGCUAGUAAUCGCGGAUCAGCACGCCGCGGUGAAUACGUUCCCGGGCCUUGUACACACCGCCCGUCACACCAUGAGAGUUUGUAACACCCGAAGCCGGUGGCGUAACCCUUUUAGGGAGCGAGCCGUCUAAGGUGGGACAAAUGAUUAGGGUGAAGUCGUAACAAGGUACCGUAGGAGACCUGCGCGUGGAAA
rnacentral:rRNA from 1 species